CAGUUUAGGAAUUAAGGGCCAAAAAAGGGCCCAAAUAAGCAUUAUUCUUGGUUUUCGCACAAUAACUUUAGUAUAAGUAAAUAGAAAUCAAUGAAAUUUUAACACAAGGUUUAUGACCACAAAAGGAAGGUUGGGAUUGAUUUUUGGAGUUGAGGUCACAACAGUUUAUGAAUUAGGGGCCAAAAAGGGGCCCAAAUAAGCAUUAUUUUUGGUUUUCGCACCAUAACUUUAGUAUAAGUAAAUAGAAAUCUAUGAAAUUUAAACACAAGGUUUAUGACCAUAAAAGGAAGGUUGGGUUUGAUUUUGGGAGUUUUGGUCCUAACAGUUUAGGAAUAAGGGGCCCAAAGGGUCCAAAAUUGAACUUUGUGUGAUUUCAUCAAAAAUUGAAUAAUUGGGGUUCUUUGAUAUGCAGAAUCUAACUAUGUA
rnacentral:lncRNA from 1 species